rnacentral:lncRNA from 1 species
AACAACAAUAACACUUAACACCACAAAUUACCAUCUAAAACAACAACACAAAAAACAGAUAAAAACACUUAACACCACAAUAUUUCUAAGAAAUUACAACAAUUGAAACAAUAUCAUCAGCUCUUGACAUCAUAUCUCUAAGAUCAUUGUCAUCUUUAAAUUGCACCGACAUACGUUGGAUAUCAUUGUUGUCUUCCACAAUAAAGAUGUACGAAACAAGUCUCUC